rnacentral:lncRNA from 1 species
GGGAGAUAAGAGAUGGGAAAGCAAACAGCGAGAGCUGAUUGGGGCUAAGCAGAGAGAAAUCAAAUUCUCAUUGCAGCUUCUCAACAGAUAAAAUCCAAAUCAAAGCAAAUGUGAUGAAAUGGCAGUGUUAGAAAUGUAUUGUAACGGGAAGGAUCGUGUGCUGCUAACUGUGCUUCCAAGUGUGCACAAGCCAAAUGCUUGUGACAUGUGUGAGGCCAGGCGGGCCUGCACCCAAAGGAGCCCGGCUGCCCCCAAAGGAGCCCAUCUGGCCCUAAAGCAGCCUGGCUGCCCCAUGUGGAAGCUCAGGGGCAGUCAGGAGGGUCAUUGCCAUCACUGCCUUCACUGCCCACACCUGGGGGAAUUCCACCCCCUCGAAGCAGGGAGCAAGAAAGGGAUAAAAAGGGUGGGAAGGGCAGGCUCCUGCUUCUUGAGGGGUGGUCAGCAGGGGGGACUGCUCUGGUGGGUACCUGGAGUAUUUGCCCUGAGGUUUGGUUUGUGCAUUUUUGUUGUCUUCCUGCAGCCACCAGGGCCCUCGCUGCUGCCUUGUGUGUGCAGUGCUGUGACUGAACAUAACCUGCUGCAGGUGUGGUGUCCUUGUACCCUCCUGGCAACUGGCAAGCAGGAGACUUUUUUACAGGAGUGUGUGUCUGGCAUUCCUCUGAAAAGCUCUCGCACAACUUAUGGAUCCUUCUGGUGCUGCCGGGCCCAGCACAAGCCUGUGGGUGCUCAACAUGGGGGAGCUGGAGCCGCUCUGGGCCCGUCUGGCUGUGGGUGAAAUAACGAGCUCCAGAGCCGAAGAGGAUUUCAUUCAUCUGCAGACGCUGCUCUUAAAUGAACUUACUGUAAGCUCUUGCUCUAAUUAAGGAAUAGAUGGCUUUCUUAGCACUCGUUUGGCAGGGGAAAAAAAAAAGCAUUUGUUUUUACUUGUGCUAUGCUGGCAUUCGUACACUGAACACUUUUUCUCUAGCCCUAAUACCAAGGCAUCCCUCAU